UCAAGAAUCUGCAGAUAAAGUCUCUUUUUG
rnacentral:piRNA from 1 species